rnacentral:rRNA from 1 species
AGAGUUUGAUCAUGGCUCAGAACGAACGCUGGCGGCGUGCUUAACACAUGCAAGUCGCGUGCGCAGUUGCCGUAGCAAUACGGUGAUGGGCGCACGGCGCACGGGUGCGUAACACGUGGGCAAUCUGCCCUUUGAUGGGGAAUAACCCGCCGAAAGGCGGGCUAAUUCCGCAUAAGAUUCCCGGAANNNNNNUUCUGGGAUUGAAAGCAGCAAUGCGUCGAAGGAGGAGCCCGCGCCCGAUUAGCUAGUUGGUGAGGUAAUGGCUCACCAAGGCUUUGAUCGGUAGCUGGUCUGAGAGGAUGAUCAGCCACACUGGAACUGAGACACGGUCCAGACUCCUACGGGAGGCAGCAGUGGGGAAUCUUGCACAAUGGGCGAAAGCCUGAUGCAGCGACGCCGCGUGGGGGAUGAAGCAUUUCGGUGUGUAAACCCCUUUCGACUGGGACGAAUGCCUCGCAAGAGGAGUGACGGUACCAGUAGAAGAAGCCCCGGCUAACUACGUGCCAGCAGCCGCGGUAAGACGUAGGGGGCCAGCGUUGUUCGGAAUUACUGGGUGUAAAGGGUUCGUAGGCGGUGCGGCAAGUUGGGAGUGAAAUCUCUGGGCUCAACCCAGAGGCUGCUUCCAAAACUGCUGUGCUCGAGUGUGAGAGAGGCUCGUGGAAUUGCAGGUGUAGCGGUGAAAUGCGUAGAUAUCUGCAGGAACACCCGUGGCGAAAGCGGCGAGCUGGAUCACUACUGACGCUGAGGAACGAAAGCUAGGGGAGCAAACAGGAUUAGAUACCCUAGUAGUCC